rnacentral:rRNA from 1 species
ACGCACGCUGGCGGCGUGCUUCACACAUGCAAGUCGAACGGUGAAGCGCCUUCCUUUUUGGUGGGUGUGGAUGAGUGGCGAACGGGUGAGUAACACGUGAGUAACCUGCCCCCUUCUUCUGGAUAACCGCAUGAAAGUGUGGCUAAUACGGGAUAUUCUGGGUCUGUCGCAUGAUGGGUCUGGGAAAGAUAUUGUUUCGGUGGGGGAUGGGCUCGCGGCCUAUCAGCUUGUUGGUGGGGUGGUGGCCUACCAAGGCGGUGACGGGUAGCCGGCCUGAGAGGAUGGACGGUCACACAGGGAAUGGGACACGGCCCAGACUCCUACAGGAGGCAGCAGUGGGGAAUAUGGCACAAUGGGCGCAAGGUUAAUGCAGCGGCGCCGCGUGAGGGAUGGAGGCCUACGCGUUGUGAACCUCUUUCGCCAGUGAAGCAGGCCUGCCUAGUUUGUGGGUGGGUUGACGGUAGCUGGAGAAGAAGCGCCGGCUAACUACGUG